CGCUGUUUUACAGUAUUGUAAUAUUUAUUACUUACUACUUGGGUUCGUAUUUAUAUUCUUAUCGUGUUCGCUGUUGUCUGCUUGACGUUCCUACAGAUUGUUAAUAAUUGUAUUGCAUCAACCAUUUAGAAGAACCAAUUUUACCCUGGCCAAAUUAUCAAAAAUAUUUUUAAGUAUUAAGAGUCAUUGAGGAUAAUUUUUUUUACAAGAAGCUGAAAUUGAAGUGCUCAAGUCGUGUCGAUACAAAGUGUUACAAGGUGGAUUCACGUUCAAACUCUAAUAUAAGAAAA